ACGAACGCUGGCGGCGCGCUUAACACAUGCAAGUCGAGCGGUAAGGCCCUUUCGGGGGUACACGAGCGGCGAACGGGUGAGUAACACGUGGGUGACCUGCCUUUAGCUCUGGGAUAAGCCUGGGAAACUGGGUCUAAUACCGGAUAUGACUCCGCGGUGCAUGCUGUGGGGUGGAAAGCCUUGUGCGGCUGGAGAUGGGCCCGCGGCCUAUCAGCUUGUUGGUGGGGUGAUGGCCUACCAAGGCGACGACGGGUAGCCAGCCUGAGAGGGCGACCGGCCACACUGGGACUGAGACACGGCCCAGACUCCUACGGGAGGCAGCAGUGGGGAAUAUUGCGCAAUGGGCGUAAGCCUGACGCAGCGACGCCGCGUGGGGAUGAAGGCCU
rnacentral:rRNA from 1 species